rnacentral:rRNA from 1 species
AUGAACGCUAGCUACAGGCUUAACACAUGCAAGUCGAGGGGCAGCAUGGUCUUAGCUUGCUAAGGCCGAUGGCGACCGGCGCACGGGUGAGUAACACGUAUCCAACCUGCCGUCUACUCUUGGACAGCCUUCUGAAAGGAAGAUUAAUACAAGAUGGCAUCAUGAGUUCACAUGUUCACAUGAUUAAAGGUAUUCCGGUAGACGAUGGGGAUGCGUUCCAUUAGAUAGUAGGCGGGGUAACGGCCCACCUAGUCUUCGAUGGAUAGGGGUUCUGAGAGGAAGGUCCCCCACAUUGGAACUGAGACACGGUCCAAACUCCUACGGGAGGCAGCAGUGAGGAAUAUUGGUCAAUGGGCGAGAGCCUGAACCAGCCAAGUAGCGUGAAGGAUGACUGCCCUAUGGGUUGUAAACUUCUUUUAUAAAGGAAUAAAGUCGGGUAUGUAUACCCGUUUGCAUGUACUUUAUGAAUAAGGAUCGGCUAACUCCGUGCCAGCAGCCGCGGUAAUACGGAGGAUCCGAGCGUUAUCCGGAUUUAUUGGGUUUAAAGGGAGCGUAGAUGGAUGUUUAAGUCAGUUGUGAAAGUUUGCGGCUCAACCGUAAAAUUGCAGUUGAUACUGGAUAUCUUGAGUGCAGUUGAGGCAGGCGGAAUUCGUGGUGUAGCGGUGAAAUGCUUAGAUAUCACGAAGAACUCCGAUUGCGAAGGCAGCCUGCUAAGCUGCAACUGACAUUGAGGCUCGAAAGUGUGGGUAUCAAACAGGAUUAGAUACCCUGGUAGUCCACACGGUAAACGAUGAAUACUCGCUGUUUGCGAUAUACUGCAAGCGGCCAAGCGAAAGCGUUAAGUAUUCCACCUGGGGAGUACGCCGGCAACGGUGAAACUCAAAGGAAUUGACGGGGGCCCGCACAAGCGGUGGAGCAUGUGGUUUAAUUCGAAGCAACGCGAAGAACCUUACCAGGUCUUGACAUCCUUUGACCACUCUAGAGAUAGAGCUUCCCCUUCGGGGGCAAAGUGACAGGUGGUGCAUGGUUGUCGUCAGCUCGUGCCGUGAGGUGUCGGCUUAAGUGCCAUAACGAGCGCAACCCUUGUUGUCAGUUACUAACAGGUUUUGCUGAGGACUCUGACAAGACUGCCAUCGUAAGAUGUGAGGAAGGUGGGGAUGACGUCAAAUCAGCACGGCCCUUACGUCCGGGGCUACACACGUGUUACAAUGGGGGGUACAGAGGGCCGCUACCACGCGAGUGGAUGCCAAUCCCCAAAACCUCUCUCAGUUCGGACUGGAGUCUGCAACCCGACUCCACGAAGCUGGAUUCGCUAGUAAUCGCGCAUCAGCCACGGCGCGGUGAAUACGUUCCCGGGCCUUGUACACACCGCCCGUCAAGCCAUGGGAGCCGGGGGUACCUGAAGUGCGUAACCGCGAGGAGCGCCCUAGGGUAAAACUGGUGACUGGGGCU